rnacentral:rRNA from 1 species
GCCCAUGAUNAGCGGGAAGAAGGUGUNGAUGACGUCAAGUCCUCAUGGGCNCUACGGGUUUGGCNACACACGUGCUACAAUGGCAGUGACAAUGGGUUNAUCCCCAAAAGCUGUCUCANUUCNGAUUGGGGUCUGCNACUCGACCCCAUGNAGUCGGAAUNGNUAGUAAUCGCGUAACAGCAUGUCGCGGUGAANACGUUCCCGGGCCUUGUACACACCGCCCGUCACACCCACUGGGAGUUGGUU